AACGAACGCUGGCGGCAUGCCUAACACAUGCAAGUCGAACGAGACCUUCGGGUCUAGUGGCGCACGGGUGCGUAACGCGUGGGAACCUGCCCUUAGGUUCGGAAUAACUCCCCGAAAGGGGUGCUAAUACCGGAUAAUGUCUUCGGACCAAAGAUUUAUCGCCUUUGGGUGGGCCCGCGUUGGAUUAGCUAGUUGGUAGGGUAAAAGCCUACCAAGGCGACGAUCCAUAGCUGGUCUGAGAGGAUGAUCAGCCACACUGGGACUGAGACACGGCCCAGACUCCUACGGGAGGCAGCAGUGGGGAAUAUUGGACAAUGGGCGAAAGCCUGAUCCAGCAAUGCGGCGUGAGUGAUGAAGGCCUUAGGGUUGUAAAGCUCUUUUACCCGGGAUGAUAAUGACAGUACCGGGAGAAUAAGCUCCGGCUAACUCCGUG
rnacentral:rRNA from 1 species